UAGGGAAUCUUCCACAAUGGACGAAAGUCCGAUGGAGCAACGCCGCGUGAGUGAAGAAGGGUUUCGGCUCGUAAAACUCUGUUGUUAAAGAAGAACAUAUCUGAGAGUAACUGUUCAGGUAUUGACGGUAUUUAACCAGAAAGCCACGGCUAACUACGUGGCAG
rnacentral:rRNA from 1 species